UAUAACAAUAAUAACAAAGUAUAACAAGGCCUACCCAUAAGAAACAGGAUGGCUGCCUGGUCGUGCGGUUAGCGCGCUGGACUGUCGUUCGGAUUUAUCGACGGUCGAGGGUUCAAACCCUGACCGCUGCCAUCUCCCGUCGUCCUGCGGGAGGUUUGGACUAGGAAGUAAACUAUCUUCAACUCUGAAGGAACAUCCGAAACAUGUAAAACAUUUUACUAAACAAAACAAAACAAUCAUCUUCUUUUUUUGAAGUAACGUCUGUAUUAUAUAAGAUAAUAAUUUAUAAUACAUGGAGGAAAAAGCAAACAGUGUGCUUACCGUCAUGGAAGAUCUUAAAGAGCACCAGUUGGGAAAAAGUUCACCAGAAUCAUUGUACUUGUUUCAGUAUGAAAGAUAGUGGCAUUGAGUGAUUAUAGCCUGUAUUCUUUUCCCUGUAUGGCGCUGUGCAGAACAAAACAAAAGUAUAACAAGGCCUACCCAUAAGAAACAGGAGUGAGUAAAAUUGGUUUGCACACGAUUCAAAUAGCCUAGUAACUAGUUUAUACUUUAAUAGUAGUCUUGACUUAAUCCUGUGUAGCCUACUCACAGGGGAGCAUAUGGCCGCAACCACACCUCUCCACCGAACUCGGUUCUGAGCAGCUUUCUUCAUCUGCUCCCAUGUCAUUCCAGUACCCUCAGCUUCACUGAUGACUGACCUCUUCCAGGUUAGCUUGGGUCUGCCCACUUUCCUUGUGGGUUCCAGUCAAGUGCCUGCCUUGCAACAUUGGUGUCCUAUCCAGCUCCAUUUUCGUUUUGUGAUGUCUUGGGCUAUGGGCUUUUGUCUAGUUCUCUCCCACAAAUCGAUAGUAGUUAUCAUUUCUGGCCACCUAAUUCUUAAUAUCCGGCGUAGGCAUCUGUUAAUGGAACUUUUCCAUAUUAGUUUUAGUGACUCUCCAAGUUUCUGAACCGUAUAGAAGGAGUAGUAGUAGUAGUAGUAGUAGUGAUUGGGGGAAAAUAAGCAAUGUACGAGGAAAGCUGUGGAAAUUCUUUAGGCCUAUAUUUUUCGGUUUCUCACACAAAGAGAAAUAGGCCUUAUCUCUUAUACGAGGCUACAUUGAUCUGUUCUCACAGUGAGAUAAAUUACUGUAGACAAUUAAACAUAAAAACAUAACUUCUUGUUAAAAGUAGACAUUGAAACUAUUAUUUUAUUACGUCACAUCCUUUCAAUUAUUUUUUACAAAAACAUUCACAACAAAUAAUGACGUAAUGUAAACAUAUUAGCACAUGCAUAACAAUCUAAAAUAUUGGAGAUUUCUAUUAUUAUUAUUAUUGCUUGGCAUGAAACAAUAUUUGUGUUAUUAUUGCUUGGCAUGAAACAAUAAUCAUGGAUCAAAAUAGGACUCUACUUAAUUAUGAAUACUGUUUUUGUGUUUUACAAAACCUUUUUUUUUUUUUUUGUACUCGGCCGAGGAAUGUCCAAGUUCAUCCACUAAAUGCCCUGGCCGAGUGUGAAGUUGAACAAAAGUUUGAUGAAGUUGAAAACGUGCAAACAUCCCAGCGGUUGAACCAAGUUCGCCAGUUCUCUGGUCUCAUUCAGGACAGCCAAGGGGAGAUAAAAGCAACGGUCACAACGCAGACCUAGUUGCAUUCACUCCCAGCUCUUCACAAGUUGGAGAAGGCAGUGAUAUUGGUAUAGAGUUAACAUUUUCAAAGCGUGAGUUCUCAUAUAAUUAUUCAAGACAUUGUAGACUAUAUUUUGUGUUAAUUCAAACAAGAAAGUUCGUUCCGAGACUUAUACGUAGUACAGCUAGUUCCACGAAGCUCUGUUAUCCUCUAUUUUUAAUAGAUCUACCUACUAGAUCUAUAGGCCUAUAAAUUGAGAAUUUUGUUGAGGCUUUAAGUUCUGCCAACUCUAAAAAUGCUGCUUCAUAACACCAGCUACACUAACCAGGCAUAUUUCAACUAUAUGGAUCAGACCUACUACCCUUACUAUCCAAUAAUUCCUACAGAAGAAUAUUAUGGGAUGAUCAGAACGAGUUCAAUGUCCUCGAUAAACAAUCAAUACACUAACCAAUAUCCAGGAGUGGAGACUCCACCAAGUCCCCCAGUUUACGGAUGUCCAUGCACAUCCACGCCACCCCAACAGUCGUUUCUUCACCAAAUUUUAACUGGCAAAGGCUACAGAAACAGCACGGUGGGGACUAAGGCCAGCAACUCACAGACAUUGGACAACUCGGUUUCAAGAUAUUCUUCAUCUUGUUGCUUUGGGAACUCGGUCAAACCAUCAGGCUAUUCCUCCAUACAGCACAACGGCUAAAAGAACUAAACUGCCUCGGAUUCUCUAUUAGUUUGCUACUAUAGCUACAUAAGAUUGAUGAAGUCUGCAGACAACACUACUGUCUACAAAUGUACUGGGGUCUUCCAAAGAUCUGCUAACUGUACUGACUGGUCUUGAUGAUGAGACUUCUGAUGCAAGGACAAAACUGAACAGCAGAAAUGCUAGUGAAAUAUAUUCUGACUGAAUAAUAAAAGAUGUCCCAGAGCAUUCAUGUGAUCACAUUUGAUGGGAAGAUACGUCCCCUUAUUCAAUGUAUAUAAUAUGUAUAUAAUGUAUGCCAUGUUUGCAAUGUUUAUUUAACCAGUAAAAUGCUAAAAAGAGUGUGAGAAGAAAAAAUUGUCGAAAUUGUAUUUACCAGUAUUUUUACUGAGCAUAUGUCUGGUGGGAAUAGACGAGAUUGAGACAGUCUAGGGCUCACACACAUACCAUUUUUUUUACAUGAGAAAAGCUUUCUUAUUUGGGGUUCAUAUAAAAAAAACUAUGAUAUAUAUUAACUAUGACACCAACGCUUUAAAGACCAGCUUAGGUGCCACUUGCUUUAACUGACAUAAAAUAGAGCAUCUGUUUGCAGGCGGCUUCAGAAUGAAGACAGUGGAUAUUUGAUAUUUUGGGUUUUUGGUACAUUGGCACAAUUUAGGCCAUGUCAUGCCCACCAGAAUGAGACAGCUGGAGUUCACUUACAAAGGCUGCAGGAUACACAAUUGAGACCAAAAGAAAAUCCAAUGCCCAGGACAGAUAUAGACACUGAAAAGAAAAUCUAAAUCGACCACUGGCAGACAAUGGUUAUGCCUGUGCUGGAUGUGAAAAAAUAUGUAGGUUGCAGCUGGGGCUGCAUAGACACAGGAAAUAUUGAUUCAUUUCUCUUUAGACUUGAAAACAAGGCUUAUUAUUUAUUAUUAUUGUUUCUAUGGACAUAAUUAGCACGUAUCUUAAAUGACAUACACACAGUUAUUUAGAAAAAAUAUGUUUGCAACAAAAAGCAUGUGUAUUAGUAUGUUUUAAGUAGAGGUACAAUUUUUAGACCCCCUUAACAGAUGAUGGUCAAUAAAGUAUAAUAAAACAAAUUUGUGAGUGCAUUAUGUCUACCAGUAUGUUAUAAAUGUGUAUUUCAUAGAAACAAAACAAUGAGAAUUUUAAUGUCUAAGGAAAUAAGAAAAAGUUGCAAAACUACUAACACGUUGUUUAAAGUAAUACUAACAAGUUGCUAACUCCUAAUGAGCUUUCAAAAUGAAAUAUAAGAAAGUUCCAAAAGCCUAAUAAGUUCUCUAAGGAUUAACAACUUGCCAACUCCUAAUAAUCUGUCUAAGGAAAUAUGAAAAACUUUCAAACUCCUAAUGAGUUGUCUAAGGUAAUAUCAACAAGUUACAAACUCCUAAUGAGCUAAGGUAAUAUGGACAAGUUGUAGACUCCUAAUGAACAGUCUGAAGAAAUAUAGACAAGUUUCACACUCUUAAUGAGAUGACUAAGCAAAUAUGAAAAAGUUGCAGCUCCUAAUAAGGAAAUAUAAAUAAGUUCUUUGCUCCUAAUGAGCUUUCUAAUAAAAUAUAAACAAGUUAAAAACUACUAAUGAGUUCUCUAAGGAAAUAAGAACCAGUUGCAAAGUCCUAAUUAGCUGCCUAAUGAAAAAUGAAAAAGUUACAAAACUCCUAAUGAGCUGUCUUAGGAAAAAAAUGAAUAAAUUGCAAACUCCUCAUGAUCUAAGGAAAUAUUAUGAUGCGCAGGUAAAAAAAAAAAAAAGGGAGCGAAAAAAAAGAGAGAGAGAGAAGGAUGGAGAGAGCGGGCCAUGAAAUUUUAUCGUAAAAGACACUAAUUCACAGGCUGAAAAAUGUAGGUUGAUCAUUAAAAUGAGGCAGAUUUAUUAAAAUUCAAAAAAAGAAAAGAUGUGGUUGUUUUGGCCAUAAUAAACAAUAAAAGCCUGUGAACAAAUCAAUGGUCCUAGCCAGUGUCUACUGCAAGUCUAUAUACAAAGACAAAAACUGUUUCCGUUCUAUUAAUCUUGAUACAGGUAUAUACAGUUGUAUAUAAUGUAAGACUUCUAAAUGUUGUUCUUAUAAUGGUGGAGUUUAUGAAAAAUAAAUGUAGCCAUUGCACUUAACAGGCUAUGAUUAAAAUUAGAUUUUAAAAAAAAAAUAGUUCUUUUAGUUUUUGACAUCUAAACAUGACAUAAUACAGCACAAAACUUAAAGUGAUUUUUCCAUUUGUGACUGCUAGAAAUUAUUUUAUUAUGAAGAGUUAUAGGAAAUGAGAUUUGCAAUAAGAUUUUAGAGAGUUGCUGCAUCAAAGUGAUGAAACAUGUUCUGAACCACUAAAACAGUACCAGUUACUAGUUAACAUUUUUUAAAAUUUAUUGGGAAAUAUUUUUUUCAAAUGUAAAAUGCAUCCAAAUAAGUUUUUAUUUCUAGACAUUUAAUAUGUAAAAUUGUAAUAACACGGUCAUCUAAUAAUCAUACCAUUAAAAACAUCCAUAAGUAUUUACAUCAUUUAAAGAAAAAUGUCAGAUUAAAACAAAAACAAGAACCACACAAAAUUUGGUUCAUAUCAUUUCAUAGAUUGCAUACAAAGCACAAAUCACAUAAAACAGCAAGACUGGAAAAGUUCUUUAUCUGAUUGAAUGAGUAUUAAUAAACUUAAUUCAAAAGAUAUAAUGAGAUUAGAAUGGUAGAUAAUAUUUUCAGAAAUGCAUUGACACGUUCUUAGUAAUAACAAUAAAAAAAUAUCAAUUAAGAAUUUUAAAUAACUGAAGAGGACAAUCAAUGUCAUUACAGAAUUUUAGAUCAAUAUGUAGAUGUAUGUACUCCUGUUCAUCUUCCUUAAAUAUUAAAUAAUAAAAUAUUCAAAUUCACAUGCACCAAGAACAGUGAAAUAAAAUAAUGUUAACCUUUUUUUUUU